rnacentral:tRNA from 1 species
AUUUAUAUAGUUUAAUAAAAACAUUACAUUUUCAUUGUAAAAUUAGAAUUUAUUUUUAUAAAUA